rnacentral:rRNA from 1 species
UACAGAAAGCAGCUUGCUGCUUUGCUGACGAGUGGCGGACGGGUGAGUAAUGUCUGGGAAACUGCCUGAUGGAGGGGGAUAACUACUGGAAACGGUAGCUAAUACCGCAUAACGUCGCAAGACCAAAGAGGGGGACCUUCGGGCCUCUUGCCAUCGGAUGUGCCCAGAUGGGAUUAGCUAGUAGGUGGGGUAACGGCUCACCUAGGCGACGAUCCCUAGCUGGUCUGAGAGGAUGACCAGCCACACUGGAACUGAGACACGGUCCAGACUCCUACGGGAGGCAGCAGUGGGGAAUAUUGCACAAUGGGCGCAAGCCUGAUGCAGCCAUGCCGCGUGUAUGAAGAAGGCCUUCGGGUUGUAAAGUACUUUCAGCGGGGAGGAAGGGAGUAAAGUUAAUACCUUUGCUCAUUGACGUUACCCGCAGAAGAAGCACCGGCUAACUCCGUGCCAGCAGCCGCGGUAAUACGGAGGGUGCAAGCGUUAAUCGGAAUUACUGGGCGUAAAGCGCACGCAGGCGGUUUGUUAAGUCAGAUGUGAAAUCCCCGGGCUCAACCUGGGAACUGCAUCUGAUACUGGCAAGCUUGAGUCUCGUAGAGGGGGGUAGAAUUCCAGGUGUAGCGGUGAAAUGCGUAGAGAUCUGGAGGAAUACCGGUGGCGAAGGCGGCCCCCUGGACGAAGACUGACGCUCAGGUGCGAAAG